CGUUACAAACGUCACAUCUUUGAUAUUUUAUUUUUAAAUAAUUAUUUUACCUUAUUUCCUUUAAUAUUUCAUUAAUAAUUAUCUUCUUCUAUUUGGUUUACCCAUUUCCCCCUUUAAAAAUCGGUUGGCGCUCAUUUAUUAUCCUCUUUUAUUAUCCUCUGUUAUUUCUAUUUAAUAUAUUUCUUUUCAUCUAAAAUCUAAAUCAUCAUUCUGAACGCACCUCGUACAUACUUACUCUGUAAGUAUCUGUUUCAAUACGGAACAUGCCGCUACUUCAUAGUACUUGGUUGUCAUUUUAAACGUCGUUUUCAAUGACAGUGUCACUUCAUCGACUUGACCCCCUACUCCCUGACAUACACUGGAAGGGAAAAAUUAAUCCUUAAAAAGGCAUGUAAUUCGAAAAAUAAAUCAUUUUCAUUUCAUCAAAUCAUCUCUUGGGUUUUUUGGAAAGAAACCACUUUUCUCCCUCCGGGAGUUUCAACAACCCUCAAAUCGCCGGCGAUACAAUAACGAGGACCAUGUCAUCAGGGCUGCAACCACAUAACCAAGACUGCAACGACCAACAUCCGUAGGCCUGGUGGAAUACAACACCUACAACCCCAGAGCCCGUUGCAGAACCAGCAGCAGUACCAUACGACAUCAAGAAGAUACCAUCAGCUACCAAAAGCCAUAAGUAUAAUCCAGAAUUGUUAGUUUUUGGCAAGAAUUUAAAUACAUUUGUUAAUGCAAUUUACUAAGUCAUUUUAUUUAUUAUAUCUUUAUGAACAAUAAACAUGAUUAGUUAAAAACUA